rnacentral:rRNA from 1 species
CCCUUAGAUGUCCUGGGCCGCACGCGAGCUACACUGAUGCAUUCAACGAGUUUUACCUUGGCCGAGAGGCCUGGGCAAUCUUUUAAACCUGCAUCGUGAUAGGGAUAGAUUAUUGCAAUUAUUAAUCUUGAACGAGGAAUUCCUAGUAAACGCAAAUCAUCAAUUUGCAUUGAUUACGUCCCUGCCCUUUGUACACACCGCCCGUCGCACCUACCGAUUGAAUGGUCCGGUGAAGCCUCGGGAUUGUGGCCAGUUCACUUUAUUGGGAGUUGGCUGUGAGAACUUGUCUAAACCUUAUCAUUUAGAGGAAGGUGAAGUCGUAACA